rnacentral:lncRNA from 1 species
GGAGAUAGUAGACCAAAAAGAAGGGCAGUAUGAAGUCUUCGCCAAAGUCUUUGAAAAGUAUCCAGAAAUAAAUGCAGUUCAACUGCAGAAGAUCCUGAACCACGUGAUCUGGCCAGGUAACUACUAAGAGUCAUCUGAGAGGACUCUGCUUCUCCUCCUCUUGGUGGGAUGUGU